AAUUAUUUAACUUAUUAUAAAGUCUAUGUUUUGAAUACAUAAGAAAGAAGUAUAUUCUUCUAAUAAUUU
rnacentral:tRNA from 1 species